GAGUCUUCUUAAGCGUUGAAUCUAAGGCGUGGUUCAUUGGAGCAAUCGGAUUCGGAGCUAACUAUCGAUUUUGGCAAAAAGGACAUCGAAAGGGAUCUCAGAAGCAGUCGUCGCGAAUCAGGUGAGCCCUAGUUGGUGGACUUGGAGCUAGGCGGGAUUCAGAGUGGCCAUGAAGAUGGAUUGCCAAUUUUAAAUAAGUUUAGCAUUUAAUUUGGAUUAUUUUAUUUUUAUUAUGUUUAAAGUUGUAAUAAGGCCGCUCUUUUUAAUUAUUUUUAUUUUGGGGAUUAUUAAACUGGUUAGCACUAGGGUUCGUUUUAUAAAAACUACUUGAUUUUUAAAAGAUCACGAUGACGCGCAAAGUUUCCGCAAAGUAAAUGUUUUUCCAAGGAAAUAAAUAUUUUAAACAAACGUUUUCAACUUAAACAUUUUCUUAAGACGGACAUAAUCAAACGAUUUUCUCAAAAUUAUACGAGAUGUUAGAGUGUGGCAAUGGUG